rnacentral:rRNA from 1 species
GGAAUUACUGGGCGUAAAGCGCACGCAGGCGGUCUGUCAAGUCGGAUGUGAAAUCCCCGGGCUCAACCUGGGAACUGCAUUCGAAACUGGCAGGCUAGAGUCUUGUAGAGGGGGGUAGAAUUCCAGGUGUAGCGGUGAAAUGCGUAGAGAUCUGGAGGAAUACCGGUGGCGAAGGCGGACGAUGUCGAUUUGGAGGUUGUGCCCUUGAGGCGUGGCUUCCGGAGCUAACGCGUUAAAUCGACCGCCUGGGGAGUACGGCCGCAAGGUUAAAACUCAAAUGAAUUGACGGGGGCCCGCACAAGCGGUGGAGCAUGUGGUUUAAUUCGAUGCAACGCGAAGAACCUUACCUGGUCUUGACAUCCACAGAACUUUCCAGAGAUGGAUUGGUGCCUUCGGGAACUGUGAGACAGGUGCUGCAUGGCUGUCGUCAGCUCGUGUUGUGAAAUGUUGGGUUAAGUCCCGCAACGAGCGCAACCCUUAUCCUUUGUUGCCA